rnacentral:lncRNA from 1 species
UGAUUUAUUAGCUCCAAUUCUAAUUAUAUUGUACUAUAUUGUAUUAUAGUGUGUUAUUUUGCAUUCUGAUAUCUUACUUAGUAAAAUAGUUCAUUUCUCCUCAGAUCGUUGCUGCUGUUUUGGUUUUGGGCCCAUCUCUCUACUGUUCUCCUUGUUUCCCUUUUCUUGGGCGCAGAUCCAUGGGUCCCUCUGCCCUACUCAUCACAGAACUGGGCCAAACCAGCCCAUACACUGUUGAUAGUCACAUCACUCGCAUUGAUAAGAAGGGGAGCAAGGAGGACUUGGGGAACUGCAGUCCGGUGAGUCUCACCUCUGUGCCUGGGAAGAUCAUGGAGCAGAUCUUCCUAUAAGCUAUGUUAAGGCACAUACAAGAUAAAGAGGUGAUUCAAGACAACCAGCAUGGCUUCAGCCUGGAGAAGAGAAGUCUGCGGGGUGACCUCACUGCCACUUUCCAGUACCGAAAGGGUAGAUAAUGGCAGAACAAGGGGAAAUGAUUUUACGUUGAAGGAGGGAAGAUUUAGGUUGGGUGUCAGGGGUAAGUUCUUUACAGAGAGAGUGGUGAGGUGCUGGAACAGGCUGCCCAGAUGGUUGUGGAUGCCCCGUCUCUGGAGAUGUUCAGGGCCAAGUUGGAUGGGGCCCUGGGCAGCCUAGUCAAGUAUUAGAUGUGGAGGGUGGCAGAGCCAGUGCACUGGAGUGAGUCCAGAGAAGGGCAAUGAGGAGCAGCUGAGGGAGCUGGGGUUUUUCAGUCUGGAGAAGAGGUGGCUUAGGGGAGAUUUUUUAGCAAUCUACAUCUGCCUGAAAGGAGAUUGUGGCAAGCUGGGGGUUGGCCUCUUCUCCUGUCUAACUAGUGAUAGGAUGAGAGGAAAUGGCCUCAAGUUGUACCAGGGGAGGUUUAGGUUGGAUAUCAGGAAAAACUUCUUUACAGAAAGGGUUGUUAAGCACUGGAAUAGGCUCCCCAGGGAGGUGGUUGAGUCACCAUCCCUGGAUGUGUUUAAAAACCGUUUGGAUGUGGUGCUCAGGGACAUGAUGUAGCAGAGGGUUGUUAGAGUUAGGGUAGUAUGGUUAGGUUGUGGUUGGACUUGAUGAUCUUUAAGGUCUUUUCCAACCUGAGCAAUUCUAUGAUUCUGUGAUUCUAUGAUUCUAUGAUUCUAUGAUUCUAUGUUAUAUAUUAAUCUACAACAUUUAUAUAAGUUGUAGUCCAAAAUAACUCAAUUUCAUUUAAAAACUUCAGAGAACAUGAAAUCUUCAACAUUUCUG